rnacentral:rRNA from 1 species
AAUUGGAGGGCAAGUCUGGUGCCAGCAGCCGCGGUAAUUCCAGCUCCAAUAGCGUAUAUUAAAGUUGUUGCAGUUAAAAAGCUCGUAGUUGAAUUUCGGGAUCAGUACGCUGGUCGUGCCUCCGGUACGUACUGGUGUCACUGGUUCCUCCCUUCUGAAGAACCAUCAUGCUAUUAAUUUAGUGUGGUGGGAAAUCAGGACUGUUACUUUGAAAAAAUUAGAGUGUUUAAAGCAGGCUCACGCUUGAAUACAUUAGCAUGGAAUAAUGAAAUAGGACGUUGACCCUAUUUUGUUGGUUUCUAGGAUUGACGUAAUGAUUAAUAGGGAUAGUUGGGGGCAUUAGUAUUCAAUUGUCAGAGGUGAAAUUCUUGGAUUUAUUGAAGACUAACUACUGCGAAAGCAUUUGCCAAGGAUGUUUUCAUUAAUCAAGAACGAAAGUUAGGGGAUCGAAGACGAUCAGAUACCGUCGUAGUCUUAACCAUAAACUAUGCCGACUAGGGAUCGGAUGAUGUUAAUUUUUUUAAUGACUCAUUCGGCGCCUUACGGGAAACCAAAGUGU